GUAAGUACCGGGGGCUGUAAAAAAAGAUGCAUGUGAUGUAACAAUUGCAAUAAAAAUCUACAAUUAUAUUCUUCAUGCAAUUACCUGGAGUGUCGCUUAUUUUUUCGAGAGGUGUCCUCAGACCAAAAGUAAAUUGCGGGCUAUACGUGCCAGGUGCUAUAAAAAUAAAUUGACAUGCGCUGGUGAUACUACAAUUCGUAAAUAAUGUAUAUUACAUAUUAUCACAGACAAAGUUACACGGCUGUGAUAAUAAAUUCGUGAUUAUUACUUUGUCGACCGAACAAAUGUACAACAAGUCACGAAUUUGCAAUAAAAUUCAUUAGGUUCCAACAUGUUAUUUAACAACAAUUAGUAGAAAAUAUGUUUGAAAAGGAAUGCUUCUACAGGUUUAAUUAAAUUCGGUCAACAAAAUUUUAAACAAGCGUAUUAAGUUUGCCUUAAUUACCUGGGGUAUCGCUCGGUUUUUCGAGGGAAGGCCUGAGUCCAAAACUGAACUGCGGUGUAUUGUUCAAUCUUACCUUUUCCGGACAGUACGUACCAGGUGC